AUUGAACGCUGGCGGCAUGCCUAACACAUGCAAGUCGAACGGUAACGCAGAGAGCUUGCUCUUUGGCGACGAGUGGCGGACGGGUGAGUAAUGCUUAGGAAUCUGCCCAGUAGUGGGGGACAACUCGGGGAAACUCGAGCUAAUACCGCAUACGCCCUACGGGGGAAAGCGGGGGAUCUUCGGACCUCGCGCUAUUGGAUGAGCCUAAGUCGGAUUAGCUUGUUGGUGAGGUAACGGCUCACCAAGGCGACGAUCCGUAGCUGGUCUGAGAGGACGAUCAGCCACACUGGGACUGAGACACGGCCCAGACUCCUACGGGAGGCAGCAGUGGGGAAUAUUGGACAAUGGGGCAACCCUGAUCCAGCAAUGCCGCGUGUGUGAAGAAGGCCUGCGGGUUGUAAAGCACUUUCAGUAGAGAAGAAAAGCUUACGGUUAAUACCCGUGAGUCUUGACGUAACCUACAGAAGAAGCACCGGCUAACUCCGUG
rnacentral:rRNA from 1 species